rnacentral:rRNA from 1 species
AAUUAUCUAGGAUUUUAUUAAUAUUUUUUUUUAACUUAUAAUCUUGUUGAAAAUAAUAAGAUGGCCCUUAAGACUAAAAGACCCUAGAAUUUUUAUAAUUUUUUUAUUUUAUUGGGGCAAUAUUUAAUAAAA